AUUCCUACGGGAGGCAGCAGUGGGGAAUAUUAGACAAUGGGGGCAACCCUGAUCCAGCAAUGCCGCGUGUGUGAUGAAGGCCCUAGGGUUGUAAAGCACUUUCAACGGUGACGAUGAUGACGGUAACCGUAGAAGAAGCCCCGGCUAACUUCGUGCCAGCAGCCGCGGUAAUACGAAGGGGGCGAGCGUUGUUCGGAAUUACUGGGCGUAAAGGGCGCGUAGGCGGUCUAUCCAGUUGGGCGUGAAAGCCCUGGGCUCAACCCAGGAAUUGCGUCCAAUACUAAUAGACUAGAGACCGAGAGAGGAUAGUGGAAUUUCCAGUGUAGAGGUGAAAUUCGUAGAUAUUGGAAAGAACACCAGUGGCGAAAGCGACUAUCUGGCUCGGUUCUGACGCUGAGGUGCGAAAGUGUGGGGAGCAAACAGGAUUAGAUACCCUGGUAGUCCACACCGUAAACGAUGAAUGCCAGUCGUCGGAUAGUAUACUAUUCGGUGACACACCUAACGGAUUAAGCAUUCCGCCUGGGGAGUACGGUCGCAAGAUUAAAACUCAAAGGAAUUGACGGAAU
rnacentral:rRNA from 1 species